GACGAACGCUGGCGGCGUGCUUAACACAUGCAAGUCGAGCGGUAAGGCCUUUCGGGGUACACGAGCGGCGAACGGGUGAGUAACACGUGGGUGAUCUGCCCUGCACUCUGGGAUAAGCCUGGGAAACUGGGUCUAAUACUGGAUAUGACCUCAGCAUGCAUGUGCUGGGGUGGAAAGCUUUUGUGGUGCAGGAUGGGCCCGCGGCCUAUCAGCUUGUUGGUGGGGUAAUGGCCUACCAAGGCGACGACGGGUAGCCGACCUGAGCGGGUGACCGGCCACACUGGGACUGAGACACGGCCCAGACUCCUACGGGAGGCAGCAGUGGGGAAUAUUGCACAAUGGGCGGAAGCCUGAUGCAGCGACGCCGCGUGAGGGAUGAAGGCCUUCGGGUUGUAAACCUCUUUCAGCAGGGACGAAGCGUGAGUGACGGUACCUGCAGAAGAAGCACCGGCUAACUACGUGCCAGCCGCCGCUGUAACAC
rnacentral:rRNA from 1 species